AUUGAACGCUGGCGGCAGGCCUAACACAUGCAAGUCGAACGAGUGGCGGACGGGUGAGUAAUGUCUGGGAAACUGCCUGAUGGAGGGGGAUAACUACUGGAAACGGUAGCUAAUACCGCAUACCAUCGGAUGUGCCCAGAUGGGAUUAGCUAGUAGGUGGGGUAAAGGCUCACCUAGGCGACGAUCCCUAGCUGGUCUGAGAGGAUGACCAGCCAGACUGGCACAGAGAUACGGUCCAGACUCCUACGGGAGGCAGCAGUGGGGAAGAUGGCACAAUGGGCGCAAGCCUGAUGCAGCGAGGCCGCGUGUAUGAUGCAGGCCUUCGGGUUGUAAAGUACUGUCAGCGGGGAGGCGUUACACGCAGAAGAAGCACCGGCUAACUCCGUGUCAGCAGCCGCGGUAAUAC
rnacentral:rRNA from 1 species